rnacentral:rRNA from 1 species
UACAGAGGUCUCAAGCGUUGUUCGGAUUCAUUGGGCGUAAAGGGUGCGUAGGCGGCGCGGUAAGUCGGGUGUGAAAUCUCGGAGCUUAACUCCGAAACUGCAUUCGAUACUGCCGUGCUUGAGGACUGGAGAGGAGACUGGAAUUUACGGUGUAGCGGUGAAAUGCGUAGAUAUCGGGAAGAACACCGGUGGCGAAGGCGGCGACCUGGUUCGUGACUGACGCUGAGGCGCGAAAGCGUGGGGAGCAAACAGG